GACGAACGCUGGCGGCGUGCCUAAUACAUGCAAGUCGAGCGAAGCGGCGGAUGGGUGAGUAACGCGUGGGUAACCUGCCCUUAAAUCGUGGAUACCAUUUGAAAACAGCUACUACUACCGGAUACUAAAGGAUGGACCUGCGAUGCAUUAGCUAGUUGGUAAGGUAACGGAUUACCAAGGCGAUGAUGCAUAUCCGGUGUGAUGGACUGAUUGACCACAUUGGGACGGAGAAACGGCCCAAACUCCUACGGUAGGCAGCAGUAGCGAAUCUUCCACAAUGGACGAAAGUCUGAUGGAGCAACGCCGCGUGAGUGAAGAAGGUUUUCGGAUCGUAAAGCUCUGUUGUUGGUGAAGCGGUAAUCAACCAGAAAGUCACGGCUAACUACGUGCCAGCAGCCGCGGUAAUUC
rnacentral:rRNA from 1 species